rnacentral:misc_RNA from 1 species
UCAAAGCCUUGCAAUUGAGUGCCUGAAGGUAUUAUUCCUGAUAACUUGUUGUUGGAUAAAUUCAAUCUACUCAAAAAUGUCAAGCUUGACAUACUUGGAGGAAUUUCUCCAAAAAGUUGAUUCUGAGAAAAAUCAAGAGAUUCUAAUGCUUUCAUAUUUCCUAUUUCCUCUGGAAUUCUUCCACUCAAAAGAUUAUGUGACAAAUUUAAUGAAUACAAUGCUUCAAGCCUUGUUAUUUCUUCAGGAAUAUCUCCUGAUAAUUUAUUAUUUGAGAGGUCCAUACUCCGAACGAAACCAAGAAUGGUGCUAUAUUCAAUCAUUUUCCCCUUCAUCAUCACUAAGGAACUCUGAUACCAUUGCAGUGAAGGACCAUAAUCAUAGAAAAAAUUGCCUCCCAUACUUCCAUAAUUAUUUUUAUCGACCAUUACACUGAAGUUACUGAUACAUGAUGGUAUGGUACCACUGAGGUUGUUAUUAGCAAGAUCCAAGAUUUGCAAAUAAGUCAUGCGGCAAAGCUCUAUAGGCACGUGACCAUGAAAUUGGUUCCCACGAAGAUUAAGAAUAACCAUCUGUGAAUAAUUUUGAUUCUCCAGCCAUGUUGAAAUAUUUCCCCCCAAUCUAUUUUCAUCCAAUUGAAGUACUGUUAAUCCUUUGCAAUGUUCAAGUGACAAUGGUAUUUCACCAAAGAGAGUAUUGUUGCGAAGGUUUAAGAAUUGAAGGUCACUUAAAAUCCCAAUGGAACUAGGAAUUUUUCCACUGAAAUAGUUGUCAUUUAAUUUUAAAAUUCUUAAAGAUUUCCAAUUCAUCCAACAAUCAGGUAUCUCUCCAGAUAGAAGAUUUUUUCCUAAGUUAAGAACUUCUGUAGUUAGAUAAUGAUGAAAGCUCUUUUCAAAGUUCAGCCUAUGAAUCCUAUUGCAUAGAAAGGUAUAUAUUGACCCAGAGAAUGAAUUAUUAGAAAGAUCUAUCCCACUAGGAUUGGAAAAGACAUAAGGCAAUGGACCCUCAAAAUUAUUUGAACUCAAGUCAAUGGAUGAGUAAUCAGAAUCAUCAAUGGAUAAAUAUGGAAUCCUUCCAUGCAUUUGGUUAUUGGAUAAAUUAAAUUCAUAGAGCCUUGAAGACCACUCAUGGAACCAGAGGGGCAGGGCACUUGAAAUUGUUGAGUUUGACAAGUCCAGAUAUUCUAAAUACUUUAGCGAAUGGAGCCAUGUGGGAAACUGAGGCCCAACAUCCCAAGAUCGCAAAGAUAUGUUCUCAACAAGUUGAAAGGGAGGAAUCCAAACAGGAUUGACUCUUAAAAUCAAUUGGUUAUGAGAGCCAUCAAAAUUUCUCAUAUUUGUAAGGUUUGCAAAAUGAAUUUCAGAAACUUCACCCUCCAAUGAAUUAUGAGAAAUAUCAACCUCCGCUAAUUUUUCAAGGGCUCCAAAACCUAUGGGGAGACUUCCAUUCAGUUUGUUAACGGAAAGGUGCAGAUAUGCCAAGGAAGUCAACCCACCCAAAGUGGGCGGAAUUUGGUGAGCAAUCGAAUUAUGGGAAAGAUCGAGAGAAUCCAGAUUCUUGAAUUGUCCAAGAAGAUUAUUUAAAUGACCUGAUAAUUGACAAUUAUAUAAAGACAACACCUCUAUCCCAUUUGAAACACAUCCCGAGAGAAUUUCAAAUACCUCAUUUAUCUCUUGGCUUAGAUUGUUGCUGACCAAAUCGAGUGACCUCAACUUGCAAAGAUUUUUGAAUGAUGCCGGAAUUCCUCCUUCAAGUUCAUUGAAUGACAAGUCGAGGUUGUUGAGGGAAGUCAAGUUUCCAAUGGCACUUGGAAUUGCUCCUUCAAGUUUGUUU